rnacentral:rRNA from 1 species
AUGAACGCUGGCGGCGUGCCUAAUACAUGCAAGUCGCGCGAACAGACGAGGAGCUUGCUCCUCUGACGUUAGCGGCGGACGGGUGAGUAACACGUGGAUAACCUACCUAUAAGACUGGGAUAACUUCGGGAAACCGGAGCUAAUACCGGAUAAUAUAUUGAACCGCAUGGUUCAAUAGUGAAAGACGGUUUUGCUGUCACUUAUAGAUGGAUCCGCGCCGCAUUAGCUAGUUGGUAAGGUAACGGCUUACCAAGGCGACGAUGCGUAGCCGACCUGAGAGGGUGAUCGGCCACACUGGAACUGAGACACGGUCCAGACUCCUACGGGAGGCAGCAGUAGGGAAUCUUCCGCAGUGGGCGAAAGCCUGACGGAGCAACGCCGCGUGAGUGAUGAAGGUCUUCGGAUCGUAAAACUCUGUUAUUAGGGAAGAACAAAUGUGUAAGUAACUAUGCACGUCUUGACGGUACCUAAUCAGAAAGCCACGGCUAACUACGUG